AACUCUCCUCUACCCCAAUCUUCUCCUGCCCUCUCCUCUGCUUCCCCGGCCUCCCCCUUCUGACUCUCCUCUCCCCUCUUUGUAUCCCCCAUCUUGCCUCCCUGCUUCCCACAUCCGACCACCCGACCUCUCUCCUCAGACGUGGACGAAUGUCGCGAGCGAGGCCCAGCCCUGUGCGGGUCGCAGCGCUGUGAGAACUCUCCCGGCUCCUACCGCUGUGUCCGGGACUGCGAUCCUGGGUACCACGCGGGCCCCGAGGGCACCUGUGACGAUGUGGACGAAUGCCGGAACCGGUCCUUCUGCGGUGCCCACGCCGUGUGCCAGAACCUGCCCGGCUCCUUCCAGUGCCUCUGUGACCAGGGUUACGAGGGGGCACGGGAUGGGCGUCACUGCGUGGAUGUGAACGAGUGUGAAACACUACAGGGUGUAUGUGGAGCUGCCCUGUGUGAAAAUGUCGAAGGCUCCUUCCUCUGUGUCUGCCCCAACAGCCCGGAAGAGUUUGACCCCAUGACUGGACGCUGUGUUCCCCCACGAACUUCUGCUGACGUGGACGAAUGUCAGCUCUUCCGAGACCAGGUGUGCAAGAGUGG
rnacentral:lncRNA from 10 species